GACGAACGCUGGCGGCGUGCCUAAUACAUGCAAGUCGAACGAACCGCGACUAGGUGCUUGCACUUGGUCAAGGUGAGUGGCGAACGGGUGAGUAACACGUGGGUAACCUACCUCAUAGUGGGGGAUAACAGUCGGGAACGACUGCUAAUACCGCAUAGGACAUAGGAUCACAUGAUCCAGUGAGGAAAGGUGGCGCAAGCUAUCGCUAAGAGAUGGACCCGCGGUGCAUUAGCUAGUUGGUAGGGUAAAGGCCUACCAAGGCGAUGAUGCAUAGCCGACCUGAGAGGGUGAUCGGCCACAUUGGGACUGAGACACGGCCCAAACUCCUACGGGAGGCAGCAGUAGGGAAUCUUCCGCAAUGGACGCAAGUCUGACGGAGCAACGCCGCGUGAGUGAAGAAGGUCUUCGGAUCGUAAAGCUCUGUUGUUAGAGAAGAACAGCGCAUAGAGUAACUGUUAUGCGUGUGACGGUAUCUAACCAGAAAGCCACGGCUAACUACGUG
rnacentral:rRNA from 1 species